rnacentral:rRNA from 1 species
UACGUAGGGUGCGAGCGUUAAUCGGAAUUACUGGGCGUAAAGCGUGCGCAGGCGGUUCGUUGUGUCGGUGGUGAAAGCCCCGGGCUUAACCCUGGGAAUGGCCGUCGAAACUGGCGAACUGGAGUGUGGCAGAGGGGGGUGGAAUUCCGCGUGGUAGCAGUGAAAUGCGUAGAGAUGCGGAGGAACACCGAUGGCGAAGGCAGCCCCCCUGGGCUGACAC